ACUCGGAACAAACAAUGUAGUGGU
rnacentral:siRNA from 1 species